rnacentral:rRNA from 1 species
GACGAACGCUGGCGGCGUGCUUAACACAUGCAAGUCGAACGGAAAGGCCCUGCUUUUGUGGGGUGCUCGAGUGGCGAACGGGUGAGUAACACGUGAGUAACCUGCCCUUGACUUUGGGAUAACUUCAGGAAACUGGGGCUAAUACCGGAUAGGAGCUCCUGCUGCAUGGUGGGGGUUGGAAAGUUUCGGCGGUUGGGGAUGGACUCGCGGCUUAUCAGCUUGUUGGUGGGGUAGUGGCUUACCAAGGCUUUGACGGGUAGCCGGCCUGAGAGGGUGACCGGCCACAUUGGGACUGAGAUACGGCCCAGACUCCUACGGGAGGCAGCAGUGGGGAAUAUUGCACAAUGGGCGGAAGCCUGAUGCAGCAACGCCGCGUGCGGGAUGACGGCCUUCGGGUUGUAAACCGCUUUCGCCUGUGACGAAGCGUGAGUGACGGUAAUGGGUAAAGAAGCACCGGCUAACUACGUGCCAGCAGCCGCGGUGAUACGUAGGGUGCGAGCGUUGUCCGGAUUUAUUGGGCGUAAAGGGCUCGUAGGUGGUUGAUCGCGUCGGAAGUGUAAUCUUGGGGCUUAACCCUGAGCGUGCUUUCGAUACGGGUUGACUUGAGGAAGGUAGGGGAGAAUGGAAUUCCUGGUGGAGCGGUGGAAUGCGCAGAUAUCAGGAGGAACACCAGUGGCGAAGGCGGUUCUCUGGGCCUUUCCUGACGCUGAGGAGCGAAAGCGUGGGGAGCGAACAGGCCUAGAUACCCUGGUAGUCCACGCUGUAAACGGUGGGUACUAGGUGUGGGGUCCAUUCCACGGGUUCCGUGCCGUAGCUAACGCUUUAAGUACCCCGCCUGGGGAGUACGGCCGCAAGGCUAAAACUCAAAGGAAUUGACGGGGCCCCGCACAAGCGGCGGAGCAUGCGGAUUAAUUCGAUGCAACGCGUAGAACCUUACCUGGGUUUGACAUGGAUCGGGAGUGCUCAGAGAUGGGUGUGCCUCUUUUGGGGUCGGUUCACAGGUGGUGCAUGGCUGUCGUCAGCUCGUGUCGUGAGAUGUUGGGUUAAGUCCCGCAACGAGCGCAACCCUUGUUCACUGUUGCCAGCACGUUAUGGUGGGGACUCAGUGGAGACCGCCGGGGUCAACUCGGAGGAAGGUGGGGAUGACGUCAAGUCAUCAUGCCCCUUAUGUCCAGGGCUUCACGCAUGCUACAAUGGCUGGUACAGAGAGUGGCGAGCCUGUGAGGGUGAGCGAAUCUCGGAAAGCCGGUCUCAGUUCGGAUUGGGGUCUGCAACUCGACCUCAUGAAGUCGGAGUCGCUAGUAAUCGCAGAUCAGCAACGCUGCGGUGAAUAAGUUCCCGGG